rnacentral:rRNA from 1 species
AUGAACGCUGGCGGCAUGCUUCCACAUGUUAGUCGAACGGUAACAGGUCUCCGGACGCUAGACGAGUGGCGAACGGGUGAGUAAUACAUCGGAACGUGCCCAGUCGUGGGGGAUAACUACUCGAAAGAGUAGCUAAUACCGCAUACGAUCUGAGGAUGAAAGCGGGGGACCUUCGGGCCUCGCGCGAUUGGAGCGGCCGAUGGCAGAUUAGGUAGUUGGUGGGAUAAAAGCUUACCAAGCCGACGAUCUGUAGCUGGUCUGAGAGGACGACCAGCCACACUGGGACUGAGACACGGCCCAGACUCCUACGGGAGGCAGCAGUGGGGAAUUUUGGACAAUGGGCGAAAGCCUGAUCCAGCAAUGCCGCGUGCAGGAUGAAGGCCUUCGGGUUGUAAACUGCUUUUGUACGGAACGAAAAAGCUUCUCCUAAUACGAGAGGCCCAUGACGGUACCGUAAGAAUAAGCACCGGCUAACUACGUGCCAGCAGCCGCGGUAAUACGU